rnacentral:rRNA from 1 species
UACGUAGGCAGCGAGCGUUGUUCGGAAUUACUGGGCGUAAAGAGUGUGUAGGCGGUGCUCCCAGUCUGUUGUGAAAUCUCCCGGCUUAACUGGGAGGGUGCAGCGGAAACUAGAGUGCUAGAGGGUGGGAGAGGUAAGCGGAAUUCCUGGUGUAGCGGUGAAAUGCGUAGAUAUCAGGAGGAACACCUGUGGUGUAGACAGCUUACUGGACCACUUCUGACGCUGAGGGACGAAAGCUAGGGGAGCAAACAGG